rnacentral:rRNA from 1 species
GACGAACGCUGGCGGCGUGCUUAACACAUGCAAGUCGAACGGAAAGGCCCUGCUUGCUGGGUACUCGAGUGGCGAACGGGUGUGUAACACGUGUGUGUUCUGCCCUGCACUUCUUGUUAUGCCUUGGAAACUGGGUCUAAUACCGGAUAUGUGCCAUUUUUUGUGUUAUUGUUGGUAAGUUUUUUCGGUGUUGGAUGAGCUCGCGGCCUAUCAGCUUGUUUGUGGGGUAAUGGCCUACCAAGGCGGCGACGGGUAGCCGGCCUGAGAGGGUGGAAGGCCACAAUGGGAAUGAGAGACGGCCCAGAAACCGACGGGAGGAAGCAGGGGGGAAUAUUGCACAAUGGGAGCAAGCCUGAUGCAGCGAAGGCGCGUGGGGGAAGACGGCCUUCGGGUUGUAAAAAAGUUUCGCUAGGGAAGAAGCUUUUUGUGACGGUAACUAGAGAAGAAGCACCGGCUAACUACGUG